ensembl:lncRNA
UUCUUGUAAUUGCCAGGCACCUAAUUUUUCAACACUUCAUGUGUAAUUAUAAAAAUUACUCUUCUAUAACCUUUAUGUACAAGCAAGAUGAUUAGCCUGCUGUCAGUCACAGUGGUCUUUGUAUGACUGUGCAUGGCAGAUUUGAUACCUAAAAUGUUUUGUGUUUCUGCUAAAAAAACAAAACAAAACACUGGCUCUUCAGGAUGUGUUUGCUCAAUAAGAUUUCAGUGAUCUGGUCAUGAACCUGGCUAUGAAUUCAUUUCUGGUUUCAUAAAACUUAUGUCUGUUAGGUUUUCUUUGGAGGGGAUUUUUUUUUUUGGUUUUGUAUUUCGCAAAUGAGUCCAAAAUUAUGAUUGUUCCUUACAUUUCAAACAGAAAUUGGCAACUUCUGUUGGCAACAGCAAGUGUUAACAGCACAGAAGAAGGAAAAUAUUUUGUAAAGAUCUGCAAAGAAUUAGUUUUUCAAAAAACGUUGAGGUUUUGGGGGAUGACUUAUCACUGAAGACAUAUGAGGUUACUUUCUCCAGUGGCACCUGGCAGAAGAAGGGAGAGAUGACUUCUAAGUUUAUUUGGGAUCCAGUUGGUCCUUGCUAUUUCACCAAAAAUUCCUUGCAAGCUCUGCUAUGGCAUGAAAUAAAGUUCUCUCUUCUGCAGCGGAAGCACCAAGAAAGUGAAUUUCCUUGCUGGAGCAGAAGGAGAGAUGAAGUACUACAGUAUUGCAAACAGGGGUCCAAUACUCAUUUUCUCUGCAGUGGCCUGACCAUGCUCCAGUGCAUCCAGUGGAAGAGGAAAGCAAAACAACGUCACCAGAGCUCAGCGAUCUGGUCUCAUCCCUGCCAGUCCUGGGACUGAGAGAUCCUGAAAUGUUUUCUGAAAUAUGUUGGUGUUUCCCAACCUUGGACUUCAACAAGAGAAGCAGCAAGGGGGACUCUGGUGUGCAGGACAUAUAUACAUGAACCCUUGUUAGGAGGGAGGGGAGAGAGAGAGAGAGAAAACCACGUGCCAGCAACAGGGCUUACAUCUCCUUUACCUGAAUAAGUCCCUGAAUAAUUACAGUGUUUAAAUAUUAGCCAUUCCUUUGGAUUAUUUUUUUCUCUUUCAAACUUAAUUUUUUUUUUUUCAAGCUAAUUAGGGCCAGAAGAUUUCUUUUGUUUUGGAGCUGUGCCCCUCUGAAGCAACCAGGGUGAGUAUUUCUGCUGGCCGGGGCAGCACCAGCCCCUUCCACCCCACUUACCUUGGUGCAUACUGGCUGCACGUGUUGUCUCAUGGUGGGGAAAAAAGGACCUGUGUCAAUCAGUUUGGAAAGAUAAUUGACUUCGGGCUGGUGACUGGUACUGUGGUGAUUCUGUUUGGUGAGCAAAAUAUUGACUUUUCCUGGUAGGAAAUGAACAUUGUAGAAAUGCCUUGGAAGUGUCUUUUUUUUUUCUUUUUCUUUUCUUUUCUUUUUUUUAAAUAACUUUAAAAUGAACUAGAGAGAGAGAAAGAAAAGGGAUUGCAACAGAAAAAAAAAAAGAAUGACUACCUUAAAAAUAUAUCUGUUUUCACUUGUAAUAUUUGCAAUAUGCUUUGGAAGCUGGGAGAUUAAAUUUCUUUUCCUAUUGCUGUUUGCCGGAAUGACACAAACAGUGCCUGUCUUUUCUGUUGUGAUUCAAUGGCACAGGAGCCAAUGUGGACUAGUUUUUCAGCAUUUGCUGUGCGCGCAGCAUCUUUGAUAAUAUUAACAGUGAUGUGUGCAACUCUGGGAAUACUAUUUAACUGCAGCAGGUAGGCAAGCAUGUCAUCUUCUGGGAGAGCCAGGCUGCUGUUUUCUUUCUAUUUUUUGGAAAUAUUCUUAUCUCAGUGUAGUGGUGUGUGUGUGUGUGUGUGUAUGUAUAUAUAUAUAUAUAUUAAUGGUAAAAUUUUACAAGUGGGUUUGGUUCAGAUUCCCAGACAAAUACAGUUCUGACUCUGCAGAUGUUUAAACCACAUGUGUAUCCUUUGUGAGUAUAGUGCAUACGACAUUAAGAAACACUUUAAUAGCUUGAAAAAUGUUUUCAGACUGUGCUCCUGAAGUCAGUGGAACUCUCUAUACACAUGCAAUUGCACAAGAAUAAAUUGGUUUUGAUCCUCA